AAAUCCGGGAUUUUUCACCCCAAAAUCCCGUCCCUGGGACCGAAUCCCCAAACCUGGCGCUUUUCACUCCACAUUUGGGGUUUUCCACCCCAUUUUGUGAUCCUGUUCCCCUCACGAAUUUCCCACCUUUUCCCUCCCAAUUGUUCACCUAUUCCCUCACAGUUUUCCUUCCUUUUCCUCCAUUUUGUGACCCCGUCCCCUCACGAUUUUCCCUCCGAUUCCCCUCACAAUAUUCCCAUCUUUUCCCUCACAAUUUUUCUGCAUUUUCCCUCAGAAUUUUCCUGCCUUUUCCUCCAUUUUGGGAUCCUGUUCCCCUCACAAUUUUCUCACCUUUUCCCUCACAAUUUUCCUGCCUUUUCCCUACCAAUUUUCUCCACCUUUUCCCUCACAAUUUUCCCGCAUUUCCCCUCAAAAUUUUUCCACCUAUUCCCUCACAAUUUUCCCGCCUUUUUCCCCACAACUUUCCCACUUCUUCCCUACCAAUUUUCUCCACCUUUUCUCCUCACAAUUUUCCCGCAUUUCCCCUCACAAUUUUCCCGCCUUUUCCUCCAUUUUGUGACCCCAUGCCCUCACAGUUUUCCCGCCUUUUUCUCCAUUUUGUGAUCCUGUUCCCCUCACGAUUUUUGCACCUUUUCCCCUCACGAUUUUCCCACAUUUUCCCUCACGAUUUUCCCACAUUUUCCCUCACAAUUUUCCCGCCUUUUCCCUCACGAUUUUCCCACAUUUUCCCUCACAAUUUUCUCACCUUUUCCCUCACAAUUUUCCUGCCUUUUUCCUACCAAUUUUCUCCACCUUUUCUCCUCACAAUUUUCCCACAUUUUGCCUCACAAUUUUCUUACCUUUUCCUCCAUUUUGUGAUCCUGUUCCCCUCACGAUUUUUUCCCCUUUUCCCCUCACGAUUUUCCCACAUUUUUCCUCACAAUUUUCCCACCUUUUCCCUCACAAUUUUCCCACCUUUUCUUCCCACAAUUUUCCCACCUUUUCUUCCCACAAUUUUCCCGCCUUUCCCCUCACAAUUUUCCUGCAUUUUCCCUCAAAAUUUUCCCGCCUUUUCCUUCACAAUUUCCCCGCCUUUUCCCUCACGAUUUUCCCGCCUUUUCCUCCAUUUUGUGACCCUUUCCCCCCACGAUUUCCCCACAGGAGGAAGGGCUCAAAUUGACCUUCCAGAAACAUCGGCUGGGGCCCAACGGGGCCCAACGGGCGCCCAACCCUCCCAAGAAAAACAGCAAGAAACUGGUGGAGCUGGAGCUGCGCUGCCUCGAGGGGCUCCGGGACCCCCCGGGAGACCCCGAGGGCGCCAUGGGGGCCCCUCCCCCCCACCGCGGAGACAACCCCGAGUUCGGGGACCCCCGGCUGCACCCGUUCGUGGAGCAGCGGCGGGAAAAGUGGCACCGGAAAAAGUUCAUCCCCUCCCCCCCCUCAGGUUUGGACCUUUCCAAGAUGGUGGCGUUGAUGGGGGGUGGAGCCAGCGGCACAGGGGGCGUGGCCUCUCCCUCCCUAGCCCCGCCCCCGCGCUUCCGGCCGGAAGCAGAAGAGGAAGCGGAAGCAGGAAGUGGGUGCUGCCCCCUGCUGGCCGACCCCAUGCUGCCGCCCACUUCCGACUCGGAUUAAGCCCCGCCCCUUCUCCUGCCGGGGCCACGCCCCCCUCCCCAUAUUUAUAUAAAUAUGUAAAAUGUCUCUGUGUCAUAGGGGGGCGGGGCGGGGGGCGGGGCUGAGCGGGGCGGGGCCGAGUGGGGCGGGGUCAGUGUGGGCAGGGCUGGCGGGAUGGGAGGGGCCUGGUGGGUUUUUUUUUAAUAAAAGGUUUGGAAAUGGAGCA
ensembl:lncRNA